rnacentral:lncRNA from 1 species
GCAUCUUUGCUCUGGGUAUCUUUGUCCCUGAAUGAACAAAUAAACGAAUGUGCCUUGAUCAUAAAAUAAAAGAAAGAUAAACCUCAACAUAUGAGUAAAGCAUCACAAAUGACAGUCUAUAAGAAAGUUGCUGCAGGUGAAAUUCUCUGCGUAGCAUGAACCAUGAAGUAAUUUGCUAACUUAAUCAUCAUGGUGAUUAUAAUCAAAAGAUGUUAGGCAAAUCUAUUAUACAAAACUGAAAACAAAUGAGGCCUGCAUUGAUAUGAUUACUAAGUUGACAUAAAGAUGUACAUCACAUUGCAUAUCAACUCAUGAACAACACAAAUUUGAUAUGAAAGAAAAACUGAAUCUGGUUAGCAUCAAAUAAAACUAUGUAGCAAAAUUCCUAUUCAAUAAAGCUAGACAAGGAUGGACAUGAUACAUAGGAAGAACUGUAGAGUUUACUAAUGAUAUAAAGAUAUAUUUUCUGAAUUUCAUCAUUCAAUGACAGCCAAAGCAAUAAUAUACCCCUAGAUUCUAGACCUCUAGAAAUGCACACUUAGAGCAACCAUAGAACUAUUCGCUGCAUCAUGUUCAAUGGGGGAAAUAGAAACAUACUUUCGAUAAGUGUAACAGCAUGAGCUAAUUAUGCAAAUUCUUCAAGUGAUUCAUCAACAGAAAAUGAAUUAUAUAUUCAGUGCCUUUACAUUCAACUCCAACAAAGUAGGCUUCCUCUAGACAAACCUAUAUUCUUAAUAUGAAAAUUCUUUAGUUUUAAAAUGAUGACAAAAUGAUCUAAAUAUCAGUUUGAAAUAUAUUUUGCCAGAAAAGUGCAAAGUGAAAAACACAUAAAUAAAAGAGAAAAACCAAAGGCUAAAGAAAUUGAAAUGUGUCCAAAAAUAUUAUUCAUGAAAGAUCUGUGAUAAAAGAAUAGCUAGGAUGCAAUUCAAGAGUGAGAUAAUGUCUCUUUUUUCUUUCUUAACAAAAAGACUGACAAAAGUCACAAUUCCUAUAUAGUAAUUGUCAAUAAUUCACAAGCAAGGUUACAGAAUGUUAAGAGGCAAGCCAGAAAAGCAAGUAAUAAAUUAGACUUUUCAAUAAUCAAAUUUGAGAAACCAGUAGAGAUAUUCUCUAGUAAAGGGCUAAUAUAAUAGCUUCAACAAAAAAUGAUACUCAAACCUGAUUCUCAAAUUCUAAUAAGUGAAGCAUCAAUGCUCCGGGUCUCUUUGUCCCUGAAUGAACAAAUAAAGAAUGUGCCUUGAUCAUAAAAUAAAAGAAAGAUAAGCCUCAACAUAUGACUAAAGCAUCACAAAUGGCAGUCUAUAAGAAAGCUGUUGCAGGUGAAAUUAUCUGCGAUGUUAGGAAAAUCUAAAGCAUCACAAAUCUAAAACAGUUAACAAAUGCUUGAUUUGUGAUACUUAAUCAUCAUGGUGAUUGUAAUCAAAAGAUGUUUAGCAAAUCUAUUGUACAAAACUGAAAACAAAUGGGGCCUGCACUGAUAUGAUUACCAAUUUGACCAAAAGAAGUACACAUCAUGUUGCAUAUCAACUCAUGAACAACACAAAAUUUGAUAUAAAAGAAAAACUGAAUCUGGUUAGCAUUAAGUAAACUAUGUAGCAAAAUUCCUAAUCAAUAAAGACAUGACAGAUAGGAAGAAUUGUGGAGUUUACUAAUGCACCAAUUUGAGCUCAAUUAAACAGGAAAUACUGGACCUGAAGCCACUUUUGAUUUCAGAUCUGAGAUUAGCUUCUUUAGGUUGAAAAUCUUCAAGCCAAACUAACUAGAAUGGUCAAAACCACACAACUGGGCCAAAAUAAGCAUGUCAAUUAAAUGACUCAAAAAAACAAUCACUUAAAUGUUUCAACUGGAAUUAUCAUCUCAAUUUAAACCUUUUACAUAUAUGAUAUUAGGAAUUAAAAUCAAUAAUCACAACAGCGGCUGAAAGCUUAUUCUCCUUAAAUAAAUAGGGAAGGUGGCAUGAAGAAAUACCAAUUCAGAGGUCAGUUUUAUACUCACAAGUAGCAGAUUCAAACUAUAGCACGUGGAUGCUGAAACUCGUGAUAGAUGACUACAACAGCAUAAUUCAAAAUACUGAAACAAUAACCAUGUCAUUAGUUGGUGAGCAUUUGUAUGAAACUUAGCAAGCUUCUCUAACAAUCUCAUGAAGAUUGCUACUAGUCUGCUACAAUGCAACAGCUAAUCAGCAAGAAAAAUCCUGCAGACCGAAAUAAUCACAAAUUAGAACCUUCAAACUCAAUGAAGAUCUUUUAAUUACUAUAAUCUAGAAGGACCAGAAUGACACUAUCACUAUAAUCAAGCAUUUGUUAACUGUUGGUAUAGUAAGCUAAUUUUCAUAAUUUAGAACUUGCGUAAUAUCCUAUUUGACUCCAUUUGUCAGGCUCUAUCUUGAGACUAGCAGAAGACAAUCUAUUAAUGGACGCCAUGAGCCUAUGUUUAUAUCAUAGAAAAAAAAACGUAAUAAACAGAAUCAUAAUGCCUCAUCUUUAACAAACACAUAAAAUUAUUUGUUUGAUAUCUCUUUACUAUUAAAUAUUCAAUUUGGUUUGCAGUUCUUAUAGGUCUGAUGACUGCAUUCUACAGAAAUUAUGACACAUCCUAUUAAAAUUAAAAUAUUUUAAGCUUGGAUUUCACUCUUGAACUUAUAUCUUACUUGGAGGUUAUUCACUAUAUAGUAAAAUAUUGAAACCAUUUAAGAUUCAAAAUUAUACACUUUAUAACCUAUUUUUUCAACAGCAAGAAAAGUCUAAAAUUCUGGAGGCUACAUUAAAAUCAUAAGAAACCUCAACUCAGCAGAAACAAAAAAAAUAUAUAAACAGCUACCUCAUUGGUCUAAUUAUGCAUAAUUAGCAUAAACAAACAAAGAAUAAGAUCAACAUGAAGAUUCUCAAAUUUAAAGAAGGAAAAGAAACAAUUUAUAUAAAAAGACAGAACUAUAACAGUAAAAUGUAACAUGGUUAAAAAUAUUAAAACUAGGACACAUAAAAUAUAGCAACAAUGAUGUAGUGAUUAUAGAUUGCAUGUAUCAUCAAUAUGGCAAAGGUUAUAGCAAAUAUAUGUGCAAAGCUGAAAGAAAAAUUGGAUACAAAAAUCAGACUUGCAGUUGCAUCCACAUAGACUCAUUGUAAAUAGACCUAAAAUGCUGUAAAAAUUAAAGCAUGGUUCUAAAUUUUUCAUCUUAGGCACUUGCACUCAUAUCUAAAGAUCACAAAUAUAUAAUGCUUGUAUAAAAAUAUGUUGCCUCUUUGAUGCCACAAACUUCUCUAUGCAAUGUUACCAACAAUGGAUUUUCUUCUUAAGCACUAGAGAAGUCUUCUGUAUUAUUAUCAUAAUCUUUUCCAACCAUCAGCAUUUUUAUCUAGUACUUGAGAAGUCAACAUGAAGAUUCUCAAAUUUAAAGAAGGAAGAAUUAACAAAUCACCUAAAAACACACAACAAUAAUGCAACAUGGAUAAAAAUAUUAAAACUAGAACACAUAAAAUAUAGCAACAAUAAUGUAGUGCUUAUAGAUUGCAUGUGUCAUUAAUAUGGUAAAGGUUAUACCAAGAUAUAUGCAAAGCUGAAAGAAAAAUUGGAUACCAAAAUCAAACUUGCAGUUGCAACCACAUUGGUUUGUUGUAUAAUAAACCUAUUAAAAUGCUGUAAAAAUUAAAGUAUGAUUGUAAAUGUCUUACUUAACUUAGGCACUUGCACUCGUAUCUGAAGAUCUUAAAUGUAUGAUGCUUGUAUGAAAAUAUGUUGCCUCUUUGAUGCCACAAACUGCUCUAUGCAACGCUAUCAACAAUGGAUCUUCUUGUCAAGCACUAAAGNNN